rnacentral:tRNA from 1 species
CGGAAUGUGACUCAGUGGUAGAGUUCUUGUCUAGCAUGCAUGAGGUCCUGGGUUUGACCCCCAGCACUGCAA